CCCUUAGAUGUUCUGGGCCGCACGCGCGCUACACUGACGGAGUCAACGAGUUGUCCUGCAUCGGAAGGUGUGGGUAAUCUUUUGAAACUUCGUCGUGCUGGGGAUAGAUCUUUGCAAUUUUCGAUCUUGAACGAGGAAUUCCUAGUAAGCGUGAUUCAUCAGAUCGCGUUGAUUACGUCCCUGCCCUUUGUACACACCGCCCGUCGCACCUACCGAUUGAAUGGUCCGGUGAAAUCUCGGGACGGCGGCUUGGUCGCUUGCGUCCGACUGCUGAAACUUGAUUAAACCAUAUCAUUUAGAGGAAGGUGAANUCGUANCA
rnacentral:rRNA from 1 species